AGAGCGAACGCUGGCGGCAGGCCUAACACAUGCAAGUCGAGCGCCCAGCAAUGGGAGCGGCAGACGGGAGAGUAACACGUGGGAACGUGCCCUUUGGUUCGGGAUAACUCAGGGAAACUUGAGCUAAUACCGGAUAAGCCCUUACGGGGAAAGAUUUAUUGCCAAAAGGAGCGGCCCGCGUCUGAUUAGCUAGUUGGUGAGGUAACGGCUCACCAAGGCUACGAUCAGUAGCUGGUCUGAGAGGAUGACCAGCCUCACUGGGACUGAGACACGGCCCAGACUCCUACGGGAGGCAGCAGUGGGGAAUAUUGGACAAUGGGCGCAAGCCUGAUCCAGCCAUGCCGCGUGGAUGAUGAAGGCCUUAGGGUUGUAAAGUCCUUUAACGGGGAAGAUAAUGACGGUACCCGUAGAAUAAGCCCCGGCUAACUUCGCGCCAGCAGCCGC
rnacentral:rRNA from 1 species